GUUAUGUAACAUAUUGACGGUGCUGAUGAUGAUAUAUUU
rnacentral:sRNA from 1 species